CCCUCCUAUUUGCCCUCAGUCUAAUAUCCCUCCGUUGCCAUGGCCCCUGCAAGACUCGAUGAGGUCUCGUGUGAUGUGACACGCGACGGUGCUGCCCUCGACAAGAUGUCGGAUGACGUUGACACUGUCAAUGUCUUGAAAGCAGAACUGAAGGACUCCGCUGCAUGUGAUGAGCCCAAGUUUGGAGCUGACAAGGACAAGUCCAAGUUCCGCCAAUACGAGACUGCCUGCGAAAGGGUCAAGGCUUUCUAUCGAGAGCAACACGAAAAACAAACAGUCGCCUACAAUCUGAAAGCCCGGAAUGACUUCCGGUCCAGAGUACGGGCUGAAAUGACAGUUUGGG
rnacentral:sRNA from 1 species